UGGUUUUUUGAAUUUUAUAUAAAAUCUAAUCUGCCCAUUGAUAAAAUUUAACGGCCGCAGUAUAAUGACUGUGCAAAGGUAGCAUAAUAAAUAGUUUUUUAAUUGAAAACUAGUAUGAAUGAUUGAACAAAAAAAUAACUGUCUCAUUUUAAAAAAUAAAAAUUUAAAAUUAAGUGAAAAUGCUUAAAUAAUAAUAAAAGACGAGAAGACCCUAUAGAUUUUUAUUUUCAUAAUUAAUAAAAAAUAAAGAAAUCUUUUCUCCACCUCUUUAUAAUUCAUGAAAAUUUUAUUGGGGAGAUAUUAUAAAAUAACUAAACUUAUAAAACUACCUCACCAAAAAUAAAUGAAAAUUAAGAUCCACUAUUAAUGAUUAAUAAAACAAAUUACCUUAGGGAUAACAGCGUAAUUUUUUCCAAGAGCUCAUAUCUAAGAUAAAGAUUGCGACCUCGAUGUUGAAUUAAGAAAUAAUAUAAAAGAAGAAAUUUAUAUAAAUUAGUCUGUUCGACUAUUAAAUUC
rnacentral:rRNA from 1 species